UAUAAGUUGGCAGAUUAGUGCAUUUGAUUUAGAUUCAAUAUAUGAAUAAUUUCACUUAUAA
rnacentral:tRNA from 1 species